rnacentral:piRNA from 1 species
AGCGGAGGGACCAAAAAGAUGUUUGUG